UAAUCGGUUCUUUUCAGGACCACAAACUAGAUUCAAUCGAGUUAUA
rfam:Drosophila simulans chrT_M_1333 genomic scaffold, whole genome shotgun sequence.